CCUACGGGUUGCAGCAGUGGGGAAUAUUGGACAAUGGGCGAAAGCCUGAUCCAGCAAUGCCGCGUGUGUGAAGAAGGUCUUCGGAUUGUAAAGCACUUUCGACGGGGACGAUGAUGACGGUACCCGUAGAAGAAGCCCCGGCUAACUUCGUGCCAGCAGCCGCGGUAAUACGAAGGGGGCUAGCGUUGCUCGGAAUGACUGGGCGUAAAGGGCGCGUAGGCGGUUUAUGCAGUCAGAUGUGAAAUCCCCGGGCUUAACCUGGGAACUGCAUUUGAGACGCAUAGACUAGAGGUCGAGAGAGGGUUGUGGAAUUCCCAGUGUAGAGGUGAAAUUCGUAGAUAUUGGGAAGAACACCGGUGGCGAAGGCGGCAACCUGGCUCGAUACUGACGCUGAGGCGCGAAAGCGUGGGGAGCAAACAGGAUUAGA
rnacentral:rRNA from 1 species